AUGGCACAGUGCCAAUGCGGUGUGCUUCGAUGUGGAAGCACUGUAUGCUUGGAUGAGGGUAUUGUCGAGCUUGCUGAUUUCUGUGGGGCUGGGCAGGCGGUUGCCGAGUGGAAGACAAAGCAAUUGUCACAGUUUCUGGGGUAUGUUAGUUGUUUAGCAUAUAAUAUCUUCCAAAAAACUAAUCUUGGCCUUAUCAGUCUCAGGGCGAUGACAGGGACCGUUCCAUUUGAUGAGGCUCUUGCUGCCUGGAUCUCUUUAAGUAAGCCAUCUCUGUCCCAAGUUGAGGACCGUUUGGAGAAGAGGCCACCCAGGAUUUCUCAACGCUGA
rnacentral:rRNA from 1 species